CAUCAAAAUACUAUUAGAUCGAACACCAAAUACAACAUCAAAAUACUACUAGACCGAACACCUCAAGAACACUAACAAUUAGACUUCAAUUUCCAUAUUCCAAACAUCAGCAACCCAGUAGCAACGACACCAACAAUAAAUAUAUUUCUUGCUCGCUUUAAAUUUUCAUCAAAAGCAUUGACUUUCUUCAACAAUCCCCACAUUACCCUGUUUGCUUGUGGAGGGUGUCGAUCUUCAUACCAAAGAAAAUAGUCACAAUCAC
rnacentral:lncRNA from 1 species